CCUACGGGGGGCAGCAGUCGAGAAUCAUUCACAAUGGGGGAAACCCUGAUGGUGCGACGCCGCGUGGGGGAAUGAAGGUCUUCGGAUUGUAAACCCCUGUCAUGUGGGAGCAAAUUAAAAAGAUAGUACCACAAGAGGAAGAGACGGCUAACUCUGUGCCAGCAGCCGCGGUAAUACAGAGGUCUCAAGCGUUGUUCGGAAUCAUUGGGCGUAAGGCGUGCGUAGGCUGUUUCGUAAGUCGUGUGUGAAAGGCGCGGGCUCAACCCGCGGACGGCACAUGAUACUGCGAGACUAGAGUAAUGGAGGGGGAACCGGAAUUCUCGGUGUAGCAGUGAAAUGCGUAGAUAUCGAGAGGAACACUCGUGGCGAAGGCGAGUUCCUGGACAUUAACUGACGCUGAGGCACGAAGGCCAGGGGAGCGAAAGGGAUUAGAUACCCUAGUAGUC
rnacentral:rRNA from 1 species